rnacentral:hammerhead_ribozyme from 1 species
AUCCACCUGACGAGUCCCAAAUAAGACGAAGCGCGCGCAU